rnacentral:tRNA from 1 species
ACGGAAAUAGCUCAGUUGGGAGACCGUUGGACUAUAGAUGGAAAGUCCUUGGUUUGAUCCCGGGAUACCGGG